rnacentral:rRNA from 1 species
AGAGAGAGACAUGCGCGCAUAUCAAUAAGCGGAGGAAAAGAAACUAACAAGGAUUCCCUUAGUAACGGCGAGUGAAGCGGGAAGAGCUCAAAUUUGAAAUCUUCAAGGUUUUACCUUGACGAAUUGUAGUUUAAAGAAGUGUUUUCUGCUGAAGUUUUGGUAAAAGUUCUUUGGAAUAGGACAUCAUAGAGGGUGAGAAUCCCGUAUUUGACCAUUAUUUUCAGCUUUGUGAUACACUUUCAAAGAGUCGGAUUGUUUGGGAAUGCAGGUCCAAAAUGGGUGGUAAAUUUCAUCUAAAGCUAAAUAUUGGCGAGAGACCGAUAGCGAACAAGUACCGUGAGGGAAAGAUGAAAAGAACUUUGAAAAGAGAGUUAAACAGUACGUGAAAUUGUCAAAGGGGAAGCGUUUGACACCAGUGUUGUUUUCUCGAAAAUCAAUUAAAAAUGGCUCGAUUUUGUAUUGCUGAGACCUUAAAAGCUCACUGUACAUUUUUCGUGUCUUUUUUAAUGCACUUUUCGUUUAACAAGUCAACAUCAGUUUCUUUUGUUGUAAAAGGGUCAUUGGAAGGUGGCUUUCUUUUCGGAGAAAGUGUUUAUAGCCUUUGGCCUCUGCAAUCGGAGAGACUGAGGUCUGCAGCGUAGACUCUUCGGGGUUAGAUACAUUUGUGCUAAGUUAUAGCUUUUUAUAGACAACUUGUUGACUAUAAUUAGUCUUGUAGCUUACUCGCUUAUGCUAUUUUACCUACGCUUAGGAUGUUGAAGAUGUAGCACAUCAU